CUAAGAUAGAUUUUUGUGUUGUUUGCUAGAUCGACCGUUCACAAUAUUGCAGCAGGACUGUCUUUGAGGAUGCCAAACACGAAUUGGUCAAGCACUUCUUCUGGGAUGAAGAUUUCCGGUCCAACCAGGAUGCAAUUCUACGUAAGAGGAAAGAACUGGGACAGUAAGGACCUCGAGUAUGGGAGGCAGGAAGAUCAUAUUAGUGUAUCGCUAAGGUUUAGCUGGACUAUGUGUAGGAUAUGGUGCAUUUUCCCUAAGCAUCAUCUAAUAUCUUUGGAGAACCAAGCAUCCUUAGCAUGUGUAUGUCGCUGCUGAGAUUUCUACGUGCAUGGUAACCAUUUCGUCGAUAGGAAGUGGUGACCUUCUCAUGGCGGCAUUUGGUUGGGUUGACAACUCCAUUUUGCCACAGUGGCAAAUGUGGAGCUAGCUUCGUUUAUGCCAUGGAACCACCUUUUUCUUAAUUUCACUAUAGUUUUACCAUGUCAGUAUCAUUUGGUUUUGUGUGAAUUCUCUUCCAAAAUUAUUGUCGUUGA